GCCCCUGUAGCUCAGUUGGCAGAGCAUAUCCAUGGUAAGGAUAAGGUCAACGGUUCGAUUCCGUUCGGGGGCUCGA
rnacentral:tRNA from 2 species